AAUUUCUGGGAGACAAUUUGAUCUCGUGGGUUAGCAAGAGGCAGUCAACAAUUGCGUUUUUAACAACCAAAGCUUAGCAUUUAGAAACUUCUAGAUGCAACACUUAAUUACUAUAGAUGAAGAGUGAGCUGGAAGAUUAUCAAAUUUUUGAGAGUAACAUUCGUAUUCUUUAUGAUAAUACUUCUACUAUUUGUUUAUCCAAG
rnacentral:lncRNA from 1 species